AAUAUUUUGGCCCUGGCCCCUCAAGGUCAACAAAGAUCCAGGACACAAAGGAACCUUUCCUACAGGAUCCUACAUCUUUGCCUGUCUGUGGCGUUUUCUUUCCACUGUAACAGGAUGCCUCUUUGACCCAGUAGGACCUGGAAUGGUGUGUAGCAACUACAAUGUGCAGCUAGCUUUUCUUUGAAGUCAACGUUUCUUCUAACAAAAUAUGGCCACUAUUCCUCCAUAAAAGAACUAAACAUCCUUCUGAAAAAUGAGUGUUGUAAAAGGGAGAUUUCACCUUCAAGACAUAGAAGAGGUUGCAUGAAAGUCAUGUCCAAUCUUCCUUGGAGACAUUUCCCAAGGGGUGGAUGAACUGAAAUGGUUUUAGGAAUUCUAAAGGCCGUUUACCCUUGGUUCCAAUUUUGCCUCCAAUCAAGGAUCACCAGCCAAAUGAGAGAAAUUAAACAAUGACUUAUUAAUCUGUACAAUCAUUUUGGGGGAUUCUUUGAAUAAA